rnacentral:rRNA from 1 species
GACGAACGCUGGCGGCGUGCUUGACACAUGCAAGUCGAACGGAAAGGCCCUGCUUUUGUGGGGUGCUCGAGUGGCGAACGGGUGAGUAACACGUGAGUAACCUGCCCUUGACUUUGGGAUAACUUCAGGAAACUGGGGCUAAUACCGGAUAGGAGCUCCUGCUGCAUGGUGGGGGUUGGAAAGUUUCGGCGGUUGGGGAUGGACUCGCGGCUUAUCAGCUUGUUGGUGGGGUAGUGGCUUACCAAGGCUUUGACGGGUAGCCGGCCUGAGAGGGUGACCGGCCACAUUGGGACUGAGAUACGGCCCAGACUCCUACGGGAGGCAGCAGUGGGGAAUAUUGCACAAUGGGCGGAAGCCUGAUGCAGCAACGCCGCGUGCGGGAUGACGGCCUUCGGGUUGUAAACCGCUUUCGCCUGUGACGAAGCGUGAGUGACGGUAAUGGGUAAAGAAGCACCGGCUAACUACGUGCCAGCAGCCGCGGUGAUACGUAGGGUGCGAGCGUUGUCCGGAUUUAUUGGGCGUAAAGGGCUCGUAGGUGGUUGAUCGCGUCGGAAGUGUAAUCUUGGGGCUUAACCCUGAGCGUGCUUUCGAUACGGGUUGACUUGAGGAAGGUAGGGGAGAAUGGAAUUCCUGGUGGAGCGGUGGAAUGCGCAGAUAUCAGGAGGAACACCAGUGGCGAAGGCGGUUCUCUGGGCCUUUCCUGACGCUGAGGAGCGAAAGCGUGGGGAGCGAACAGGCUUAGAUACCCUGGUAGUCCACGCUGUAAACGGUGGGUACUAGGUGUGGGGUCCAUUCCACGGGUUCCGUGCCGUAGCUAACGCUUUAAGUACCCCGCCUGGGGAGUACGGCCGCAAGGCUAAAACUCAAAGGAAUUGACGGGGCCCCGCACAAGCGGCGGAGCAUGCGGAUUAAUUCGAUGCAACGCGUAGAACCUUACCUGGGUUUGACAUGGAUCGGGAGUGCUCAGAGAUGGGUGUGCCUCUUUUGGGGUCGGUUCACAGGUGGUGCAUGGCUGUCGUCAGCUCGUGUCGUGAGAUGUUGGGUUAAGUCCCGCAACGAGCGCAACCCUUGUUCACUGUUGCCAGCACGUUAUGGUGGGGACUCAGUGGAGACCGCCGGGGUCAACUCGGAGGAAGGUGGGGAUGACGUCAAGUCAUCAUGCCCCUUAUGUCCAGGGCUUCACGCAUGCUACAAUGGCUGGUACAGAGAGUGGCGAGCCUGUGAGGGUGAGCGAAUCUCGGAAAGCCGGUCUCAGUUCGGAUUGGGGUCUGCAACUCGACCUCAUGAAGUCGGAGUCGCUAGUAAUCGCAGAUCAGCAACGCUGCGGUGAAUACGUUCCCGGGGCU